GAUGGAGGGGACUGAUGGAGAUGCCCCGCUGCCACCCUGGGCCGGGCUCAGCGGGUCCCACGGCGUCAGCAUCAGGAUUAGGCUUAGGCUGACGGUUAGGGGCACAACGAAGCCCGGGAGCAAGGUCCGGCCCAGCGUUAGGGUGAAGUACCCCCUCGGCUGCGGGGAAGAGCCACCUCGUCCCUGAGCCCUGGCGGCGCGCGGCGAGCUCGGGAAGAGGCUUUCACAGAGCUGCAGCAGGGCAGGAGGCCGCUGUCUGUCUGUACGUCCUUACGGUGUACGUGGCAGCCGCAGGAGUGCCUUGAUGGCCUGGGCCCUCACUUCUCCUUAUAAACUCUGCAGAAGCCUACAGAAGACGUGAUAGAGACCUGCAUGGACUAUUUGGAUGCAAAAAAGUUUUGUCUUGGAGAGCUGCUGUCCUCCCAGGUGGGGCUGCGGGAAGCAGCGGGAAGGGGGAUCUAAGGCACUUCCCAGACUCACCGCGCUGCAGAUUUAAGUACCACGAUUUUAAGUACUUCACUUUCCUGCUGCGAUGUAGCGCUAACUGCUGUUGCAGGCAGUGGGAAUUCCCACGCCCUUCGCUAACACUUUGAGGCCAAUACUUCUUUCAUGAUGCUUUAAGAAGUAGUGGAUGCAGCUCCUGUGCUUCCUCCCCUGCCUCCUCCAGUUUGGUGGCUGCCACGUGUUUCCUAUGGUGUGAAACAUCCCUACUCCAUGGAUUUCCUCUUGCAUUGGCUAAUACCUUGAAAGUUAAUUCAAGCAACCCAUGAUUAUCCUGUGGGGAAAACUGUUUUGGUCCCCUUUCACCCUUACGAGCAGUUUUAUCCACUUGCCUUUUGUUUGUGUAAGACAUUAUAGAAAUACUGCUUGCAAGGAGAACCUGCCUUCCACUUCUGGAAAAGGGGUUUUCUUUUAAUCUUCAAGUUGCAAAGUCCUCCUGGCAUUGCUUGGACAGUCUAAAACUCAGACCAUCAUUUAACCUGAGCUUUGCCAUUGCUUAUCAGGGAUGGCUUGGAUAUAAUUUGCGCUUCUUUGUAAUUAGAAAAGGCUGGUUAUUCUUAGGAACCUUAAUUAAUUAAAUUAGAGAUGAUAUUGAGGGAAUAAAGUGUUGACACAGCAAGCUAAUAACAUCCUGCUGCUAAAUAAUCUCCACGAAGAUGAGUCGUGGUCGGAAAGGAUGGCAAAGCAAUCAGCUGAGCAGAGCGGGAGCUGCGGAGUCUGCAGACGUGGGCUUGCCAGCCAGACUGCGUCACUGUGCCGGUCUCUCUGCCAGCUGCGCAGCUGGAUUUUGACUGGCCUUAACUAUAUUUCAGCCUAGGGCUACUCAGUAGAUUCUGGGCCAGAUUCGGACUGUGAGAAAAGUUUGUUUGCAUCUCACUGAGGCCCCAGAUAUGUGGUAUCUGCUGCACCCUUGCAGGAUUCACAUAUUUGCUGCCUAUUCACAUAGCUGCUGCCCGUUGCCAUCAAAGUGUUGUAGCAGGGCUGGGGAGCUGCGUCAGCUGCAGCCAGUGCAAAGCAUCCCCCCUGAGCAGACUUUGCUAAAAUUACUCAUUAAAUUAUUCAUUAAAAACAGAGGAAGUCUGUGUCACAAUGUAGCACACUGUGAAAGUGGCACGAGCUUCAUGUGCAACUUGGUGCUGUGCUAGAAAUGCCUGGUCAGGGGCAAGUUUGUCUUAUUAUUCAUUGUCAUUAUUGUCCUCGUGGUGGAACAGAAACGUUCAGUGAGGUGCCCUGUAAACGUAGGAGAUGACCAGAAAUCGGGAGCAAAACAAAAAAAAAAACUUCAAGCACAUAGUUUUAAGCCAAUCUGUAUAAUUUCUGGACAGAAAAGUAGAGUUUGUAACACAGGUCUAUCUGAGCAGAAAGAUCCAGUCCCCAAAAUAAUAGCUGUUCAACAUACAAGGUUGUUCAAAGACCCGAUGAAUUAAAAACAAGAUUUGCUUUUACUUUUGCAGCUCUGGACAAACUGCCUAAAGUUGCAGUCUAAACCAAUACUGCCUAAAAUGGCAAGUAAACUGCCUGUAAAGUUGCAACC